rnacentral:rRNA from 1 species
GGGCCCGCACAAGCGGCGGAGCAUGCGGAUUAAUUCGAUGCAACGCGAAGAACCUUACCAAGGCUUGACAUGGGGCGAAAACCGGCAGAGAUGUCGGGUCCGCAAGGGCGCCUCACAGGUGGUGCAUGGUUGUCGUCAGCUCGUGUCGUGAGAUGUUGGGUUAAGUCCCGCAACGAGCGCAACCCUCGUUCUAUGUUGCCAGCACGUAAUGGUGGGGACUCAUAGGAGACUGCCGGGGUCAACUCGGAGGAAGGUGGGGAUGACGUCAAAUCAUCAUGCCCCUUAUGUCUUGGGCUUCACGCAUGCUACAAUGGCCAGUACAAAGGGCUGCGAGACCGUAAGGUGGAGCGAAUCCCAAAAAGCUGGUCUCAGUUCGGAUCGGGGUCUGCAACUCGACCCCGUGAAGUCGGAGUCGCUAGUAAUCGCAGAUCAGCAACGCUGCGGUGAAUACGUUCCCGGGCCUU